AUUGAACGCUGGCGGCAGGCCUAACACAUGCAAGUCGAACGGAGUGGCGAACGGGUGAGUAACACGUGGGUGACCUGCCCUGCACUUCGGGAUAAGCCUGGGAAACUGGGUCUAAUACCGGAUAGUGUGGGAUGGGCCCGCGGCCGAUCAGCUUGUUGGUGGGGUAAUGGCCUACCAAGGCGGCGACGGGGAGCCGGCCUGGGAGGGUGGACCGCCACAUACGGCCUGGGACACCACCCAGGCUCCUACUGGGGGAAUCAGUGGGAAAUUUGGCACACUGGGCGGAGGCCUGAUUGAGGGCCGCCGGGUGGGGGAUGUCGGCCUUCGGGUUGUAAACUCCUUUCACCAUCUACGCGGUAGAUGGAGAAGAAGCACCGGCUAACUACGUGCCAGCAGCCGCGGUAAUAC
rnacentral:rRNA from 1 species